AUUGAACGCUGGCGGCAUGCUUUACACAUGCAAGUCGAACGGUAACAGGCCGCAAGGUGCUGACGAGUGGCGUACGGGUGAGUAAUGCAUCGGAACGUGCCCAGUCGCGGGGGAUAACUACUCGAAAGAGUAGCUAAUACCGCAUACGAUCUAUGGAUUAAAGCGGGGGACCGUAAGGCCUCGCGCGAUUGGAUCGGCCGAUGUCAGAUUAGGUAGUUGGUGGGGUAAAGGCUCACCAAGCCAACGAUCUGUAGCUGGUCUGAGAGGACGACCCGCCACACUGGGACUGAGGAACGGCACAGACUCCGACGGGAGGAAGCAGUGGGGAAUUUUGGGCGAUGGGCGAAAGCCUGAUCCAGCAAUGCCGCGUGCAGGAAGAAGGCCUUAGGGUUGUAGACUGCUUUUGUACGGAACGAAACGGCUCUGGUUAAUACCCGAGGCUAAUGACGGUACCGGAAGAAUAAGCACCGGCUAACUACGUG
rnacentral:rRNA from 1 species